AGACGUCUACAUUAGAUACCCGCGUAGUCCAGGGUGUAAACGCUGCAGACUUGGUGUUGGAAGCCCUUCGGGGGCAGUCAGUGCCGGAGAGAAGUUGUUAAGUCUGCUACUUGGGGAGUACGUCCGCAAGGAUGAAACUUAAAGGAAUUGGCGGGGGAGCACCGCAACGGGAGGAGCGUGCGGUUUAAUUGGAUUCAACACCGUAAAACUCACCAGGGAAGACUGUUACAUGAAAGCCGAGAUGAUGACUCUGCUAGAUUUUCAG
rnacentral:rRNA from 1 species